rnacentral:rRNA from 1 species
CAGGGUGACAGCCCCGUACACAAAAAUGCACAUAUUGUGAGCUCGAUGAGUAGGGCGGGACACGUGGUAUCCUGUCUGAAUAUGGGGGGACCAUCCUCCAAGGCUAAAUACUCCUGACUGACCGAUAGUGAACCAGUACCGUGAGGGAAAGGCGAAAAGAACCCCGGCGAGGGGAGUGAAAAAGAACCUGAAACCGUGUACGUACAAGCAGUGGGAGCCUCUUAAUGGGGUGACUGCGUACCUUUUGUAUAAUGGGUCAGCGACUUAUAUUCUGUAGCAAGGUUAACCGAAUAGGGGAGCCGAAGGGAAACCGAGUCUUAACUGGGCGUUAAGUUGCAGGGUAUAGACCCGAAACCCGGUGAUCUAGCCAUGGGCAGGUUGAAGGUUGGGUAACACUAACUGGAGGACCGAACCGACUAAUGUUGAAAAAUUAGCGGAUGACUUGUGGCUGGGGGUGAAAGGCCAAUCAAACCGGGAGAUAGCUGGUUCUCCCCGAAAGCUAUUUAGGUAGCGCCUCGUGAAUUCAUCUCCGGGGGUAGAGCACUGUUUCGGCAAGGGGGUCAUCCCGACUUACCAACCCGAUGCAAACUGCGAAUACCGGAGAAUGUUAUCACGGGAGACACACGGCGGGUGCUAACGUCCGUCG